rnacentral:rRNA from 1 species
UACGUAGGGUGCAAGCGUUGCCCGGAUUUAUUGGGCGUAAAGGGCGCGUAGGCGGCUCUGCACGUUCGUUGUGAAAUCGCCCGGCUCAACUGGGCGGGGUCAGCGGAUACGGCAGAGCUUGAGCAAGCUAGGGGGCAAUGGAAUUCCCGGUGUAGUGGUGGAAUGCGUAGAUAUCGGGAGGAACACCGGUGGCGAAGGCGGCGAUCUGGGUCGAUACUGACGCUGAGGUGCGAAAGCGUGGGGAGCAAACAGGG